ACCCCAGAGGGCUUGUCUAAGGAGAAAUUAGAAUUGCACAGCAGCUAAAGUCCCCCUGUAUAUAUGGCUGACUUUGGUAACUCAUUUCUUUGCAGUGUCAGAGGGACUGGAUGUAAAGCAGAGAUGAACAGAAGAGGCUGGAGGAGCACAGUCAGAAGAUGCAGAGCCCUCAGCCCAGCAGAUGACAGGCACCAGAGGGAAGGUGAGCCUGGUGAGCAAGGUGAGCAGUGACUGCAGGACAAAACUAGCUGCUCUUUUGCAGGUGGUGUACUUGUGGUGAAUCUGUGUACAUACUUGUUUUUUUGUUUUCCAGGCAAUGCACCGACUUCUAACAUACAGUCCAACGUGACGGGGACCCUGCCUGUAAGAGGAGACGUAUGAAGCCUCACAGGGCUGAAGCCAACUCACAGUGAGGUGACGGACACGGUUUGGUCCUCUGGAGCUGUCCUUGUAGGUAAUCUCCGAGUAUUGAAAGGAUCAGCAAUGAAGGAUUGAGCUUUUUUGAUUGCAGGUGCCAUCCAGCUAACCUUUGGGAGCAGAUGAGCGUU